rnacentral:rRNA from 1 species
UACGUAGGGUGCAAGCGUUAAUCGGAAUUACUGGGCGUAAAGCGUGCGCAGGCGGUUCUGUAAGACAGGUGUGAAAUCCCCGGGCUUAACCUGGGAACUGCGCUUGUAACUGGCAAGCUAGAGUGUGGCAGAGGGGGGUGGAAUUCCACGUGUAGCAGUGAAAUGCGUAGAGAUGUGGAGGAACACCGAUGGCGAAGGCAGCCCCCUGGGCUAACACUGACGCUCAUGCACGAAAGCGUGGGGAGCAAACAGG